UACCUGUUCACAUCAAACAAUUCGCAGCGUCAUGAAAUAUUAACUUACUGUAUUCAUUUACUGUGCUAUUUUAUGAAGUUUAUCGGGAUGUAUCGUCGAAUAAGAACAUUCAUAUCGAUCCUGACACGAUAUGGAGUAUGUGUUUGGAUCGGCUGUUUCCAAAGUUACCUUCACCACCUCCAGGGGUUGCGGGGAUGAAACGAUGUGGAACCCCUGACAUCAAUUCUGAAGACCCGGUUCGUAUGUUCUGGAGGCAGCCUCAGUGGACUCGUUUAGGAACACA